rnacentral:rRNA from 1 species
NAAACCCCCUCGCCGGAAGACCAAGGGUUCCUGUCCAACGUUAAUCGGGGCAGGGUAAGUCGACCCCUAAGGCGAGGCUGAAAAGCGUAGUCGAUGGGAAACGGGUUAAUAUUCCCGUACUUCUUAUAAUUGCGAUGGGGGGACGGAGAAGGCUAGGUGGGCUUGGCGACGGUCGUCCAAGUUCAAGUGCGUAGGCUAAGAGUUUAGGUAAAUCCGGACUCUUGUUAGGCUGAGACACGAUGUCGAGCACCUACGGGUGUGAAGCCAUUGAUGCCAUGCUUCCAGGAAAAGCCUCUAAGCUUCAGAUUAUAAGAAAUCGUACCCCAAACCGACACAGGUGGUCGAGUAGAGAAUACUAAGGCGCUUGAGAGAACUCGGGUGAAGGAACUAGGCAAAAUGGUACCGUAACUUCGGGAGAAGGUACGCUCCUAGCGGUGAUGAGACUUGCUCUCUAAGCUGCCGGGAGUCGCAGAUACCAGGUGGCUGCAACUGUUUAUUAAAAACAUAGCACUGUGCUAAAUCGUAAGAUGACGUAUACGGUGUGACGCCUGCCCGGUGCUUGAAGGUUAAUUGAUGGGGUUAGACUUCGGUCGAAGCUCUUGAUCGAAGCCCAAGUAAACGGCGGCCGUAACUAUAACGGUCCUAAGGUAGCGAAAUUCCUUGUCGGGUAAGUUCCGACCUGCACGAAUGGCGUAAUGAUGGCCACGCUGUCUCCACCCGAGACUCAGUGAAAUUGAAAUCGCUGUGAAGAUGCAGUGUACCCGCGGCUAGACGGAAAGACCCCGUGAACCUUUACUACAGCUUGGCACUGAACAUUGACCCUACAUGUGUAGGAUAGGUGGGAGCCUUUGAAACCAGUACGCUAGUAUUGGUGGAGGCAAUCUUGAAAUACCACCCUUGUAUGCUUGAUGUUCUAACGUUGGCCCCUUAUCGGGGUUGCGGACAGUGCCUGGUGGGUAGUUUGACUGGGGCGGUCUCCUCCCAAAGAGUAACGGAGGAGCACGAAGGUGGGCUAAACACGGUUGGACAUCGUGUGGUUAGUGCAAUGGCAUAAGCCCGCUUGACUGCGAGAAUGACAAUUCGAGCAGGUGCGAAAGCAGGUCAUAGUGAUCCGGUGGUUCUGAAUGGAAGGGCCAUCGCUCAACGGAUAAAAGGUACUCCGGGGAUAACAGGCUGAUACCGCCCAAGAGUUCAUAUCGACGGCGGUGUUUGGCACCUCGAUGUCGGCUCAUCACAUCCUGGGGCUGAAGUCGGUCCCAAGGGUAUGGCUGUUCGCCAUUUAAAGUGGUACGCGAGCUGGGUUUAGAACGUCGUGAGACAGUUCGGUCCCUAUCUGCCGUGGGCGUUGGAUGAUUGAAAGGGGCUGCUCCUAGUACGAGAGGACCGGAGUGGACGAACCUCUGGUGUUCGGGUUGUUACGCCAGUAGCAUUGCCCGGUAGCUAAGUUCGGGAUCGAUAAACGCUGAAAGCAUCUAAGCGUGAAGCGAGCCUUGAGAUGAGUCAUCCCUGAUACUUUAAGUAUCCUAAAGGGUUGUUGGAGACUACGACGUAGAUAGGCAGGGUGUGUAAGUGCUGCGAGGCAUUGAGCUAACCUGUACUAAUUGCCCGUGAGGCUUAACCA